AUGUCGGGCCGGGCCGGGCUAAACAAAACCCGUUGCAAAAAACCUGGGCCUGAGCCCGGCCCGGCCCAGCCGUCAGGCCUAGAUUUCAGGCCCAAGCCCGGCCCAUCAGUCAAAAAGCCCGACGGGCCUCGGGCCACGGGCCGGGCCUCUUUGUUAAAUGGCAAAUAUGGCAGGCCUGAGCCCGGCCCGGCCUGGCCAUCGGGCCUAAAAAUCAGGCCAAAGCCCGGCCCAUGGGCAAGGUCGGGCCGGGCCGGGUCGGGCUUUUUUAGAUCGGGCCGGGCCGGGUUUCCCAUGGCCAGAUCCCGAGCUCCCCUCGCGCCCCGCCCCUCCCCGGCCCCCAUGCGGAUCCGCAGGUCCGCCUCCCGCCUGCUUGGCUCCGCCGUCUCGGGCUCCUGCACGGAGCCGCCCCGAAUCGAGCCGCCCCCGCCCCCGCCGCCAGCCCCAGCCCCAGCCCACGAAUCCGGCGCCGGGUUCGUGGGGCCGAAGACUUCCUCCGGCGGGGAGCCCUGCUGCGAGCUCAGCCGGUCGCCAUGGGACCUCAUGGCGCAGCUCGACCUCUCGGAUCCCCAGGUGGAGAAGCUCUUCGUGGAGACUUGCUUCAUGAGUGUUUCCUGGCGAGGUAGCUGGCUCUUCCCAUCAAGCAUUACCAUGCCUACUGGCUCCAUCAAGGAGGAGGAAGACUUGACCGUAGAUAUGGUUGACGGGGUCAUCUUGAAACUGCACAAAGCUGUGGAAAAGAUGGAGAGGAAGCCGAAGCCAAAUAAGGGGUUCAAAGUGCAGAAAGGAGUGUGGAGGUGCCGGAAGAAUGACGGCAAGAGGUGGUGCUGCCAGCGGCCCGCGAGUGAGCCCAACUCCUACUGCCCGUACCACUUGGACCAGAAGCCCCCCGUCAGCGACAAGCCACGUAGAAAGAGGCCCGACAUCGACCUGGGCGAGGGGUUCUACUACUAUGCGGGGUUCGGCCCCGGCACCAAGAAGCGCCGCACGUCAUGCAGCGACAGCGUGCCAGAACCUAUUCUGCCUGCUGAAUCUCUGAAAGAGGAGGCACCAUCUGAAAUGCAACUUAAUUUUAGUGCUUGUCAGGUACAAGUGAAUGAAUCAGACCAUCAAUCAGUGCUCCCGCCAUCAGCACACGUCGUCGACGAGCCUGGCACCGCUAGGAUGGUGGGCUGUGACAAGGAGAGCAGUGAUGAUGGCAUGCAGGAACUUCCACUGCCUGCUAAACAACCAAAAGAGGAGGCACCGUCCGAAAUGCAACUUAAUUUUAGUGCAGGUCAGGAACAAGCUGAUGACUCAAACCAUCAAGAAGCAGCGGCAUCAGUACGUGUAGUCAACAAGCCUACGGGCAACGACGGCACCACUGGGAUCGCAGGCUGGGACGAGGAGAGCAGCGAUGAGGAAGCGCUUGGCUGCAAUGGCAAACAACCCUGCGGCACCAAGAGGAAGGGCCCGUUCAAGAAGAGGUGGAGGAAGCCUGUGAAAGCCCGGUCGCUCAAGUCACUGAUGAUGUCGUAG
rnacentral:rRNA from 1 species